UAGGGAAUCUUCGGCAAUGGACGAAAGUCUGACCGAGCAACGCCGCGUGAGUGAAGAAGGUUUUCGGAUCGUAAAACUCUGUUGUUAGAGAAGAACAAGGACGUUAGUAACUGAACGUCCCCUGACGGUAUCUAACCAGAAAGCCACGGCUAACUACGUGCCAGCAGCCGCGGUAAUACGUAGGUGGCAAGCGUUGUCCGGAUUUAUUGGGCGUAAAGCGAGCGCAGGCGGUUUCUUAAGUCUGAUGUGAAAGCCCCCGGCUCAACCGGGGAGGGUCAUUGGAAACUGGGAGACUUGAGUGCAGAAGAGGAGAGUGGAAUUCCAUGUGUAGCGCUGAAAUGCGUAGAUAUAUGGAGGAACACCAGUGGCGAAGGAGGCUCUCUGGUCUGUACCUGACGCUGAGGCUCGAAAGCAUGGGGAGCAAACAGG
rnacentral:rRNA from 1 species